rnacentral:rRNA from 1 species
UACGUAGGGGGCGAGCGUUGUCCGGAGUUACUGGGCGUAAAGCGCACGCAGGCGGUCUGCUAAGUUUGGAGUGACAGUUGGUGGCUUAACUGCCAAAGUGCUUCGAAAACUGACAGACUUGAGGGCUUCAGAGGGACACGGAAUCCGGGUGGAGUGGUGAAAUGCGUAGAGAUCCGGAGGAACACCAAAGGCGAAGGCAGUGUCCUGGGGAGUACCUGACGCUCAGGUGCGAAAGCCAGGGGAGCGAACGGGG